rnacentral:tRNA from 1 species
GUUCGCGUAACUCAGUGGAUUAGAGUGUGAGAUUGCAACUUUCACAAAGGGUCUCUAUCUCUUUAGGAAUAAAUCUUGAAGUCGCGUGUUCGAAUCACGCCGCGGACU